rnacentral:snRNA from 1 species
GUGCCUGUUUCAGCAGCACAUGUGCUAAAAUUGGAAGGACAUAGACAAGAUUAGCAUGGCUCAGUGCAAGGACAGGCAGAUUGGUUACAAUCUAACAAGUGGU